AUGCGAAUUUUUUUAUCCUGGUCACAGUGCAAAACUCCUGCAGGUUCGAACGCCCUAAAGGCAGCGCGCAACGCGCCAUCCCACGCCUAUUCGCUACGUUUUCUACACGCCGCUUCUCCCCCGUUAAGGUUCCCCCAGCGCAGAGGCAACCUCCCGCAAGCCGAGCUCACAGCCCCCCUGUCCCCCCACGGAUGCCGAAGCACUCGGGCUCUCUCCUGCCAAGACCGGGGACCCGCUCUCCAGCCGCAGGUGCCGCCGCCGCUGCCCAGCCCCGCUCCCGCAAGACCGCAGGCUGCCCGCAGCCCGGCUCCGGCCUCACAAAGCGAUUCCACCCGUGGGCUCCGGUCACGGCAACGACGCCCCGAAACCCCAAGCCCCGUCCCUAAAAACCCUCUCGGGAACUACCUCAGGGCUGCGGGGCUUCCCUGGGAAGAAGACGGCGUUCCAAACCCCGACUCCCUGCCGCCACCGCCCCGAGCCGCCGCUCGCCCGCCCGCCUCCCUCCCCCGCUGCCGCCGGUCCGUACUCACCCCGGGCCGCGGGGGCUUCUCCGACGCCGGCGCUCCUCUCCCCAGCCGCCUCGCUACAGCUGCUCGCCCCUACGUGCGCCGGGGGGGGGGGGGGAAGAACGCGGGGCAAGGGGAAGCCCCCGCCGCCCGGCUCCGCGCCGCCGGCGAGGCCGCGCCCACCCACCCUACGUGCGGCUCGGCAGCCGCGGCCCCCUCCCCGCCCGCCCGCCCGGCUCGCCCCGGCCGGCCGCCUACGUGUGGCCCUGCAUGCGGGAGAGCGUGCGGCACGCCGCUCCUGAGCUCAAAGGGGACGGCCGCCGGGCUGAUCCCCUGCCCAGCCGCGCUCGCUCAGGCGGAAACAGGCCUUCCCUCAGCCGCCGAGCAGCGCUGGGAACGGGGUUGGGAGGGGAAGGGGCAGCCGCCGAGCCGGACCUCGGCAGCGGCGGGCAGCGCAGGAGGGCGGGCGGGAGCCGGGAGCGGGAGCCGGGAGGAGCCCGGGAGCGGGAGCCGGGUAGCCCGGGAGCCCUUCGCGGGGCACAUCUGGCCGGGAGCGUGGCGGCGCGUCACGUCUGCACGGCCGCGAAGCGCGGGCGCACCGCGGCGCUGCCGAGCCCCCCCCCCCUCUCCCCCGUUCUCCUCAGAAGACCCCGCCGUUCCCGGGCCUGCCGGGCUGCGAGCCGGGGAGCUCGUUGGGGCGGAGGGGAGGGCUUCUGUAGGGACAGGGGCUGGGAACGCCAAAGCCCCACCGGCAUCCCCCGGGGCUGCGGUAGGGCGGCGGCUGCCCGGCCGCUCCCGCCCUCCUAAACCCCUUCCUCCCUCCCGGGCCGCUCGCCGACCGCGCCCCGGGGGCCGACCGACCGACCGAGGGGUACGUUGGCCCGUGUGCCCGCCGACCGGGCUCGCCCUCACGGUGUGGGGCAGGAGGGACAGCCGCCCCCCCCCCGGGGCGGACGGAGGGAGGGAGCUACCGGUCACCGACGGGCCCCCGGGCCCCCGCCCUCACUCCCUCACGGAGACGCCCCAGCGGCACCUCCCGGCAACGGGGACUGCG
rnacentral:lncRNA from 1 species